rnacentral:lncRNA from 1 species
GUUCAGGUGUUUGGCAUUGGUUGGGAUCCAAUAGCUGUUGUCUGAGAGUCUGCUCGUCAUCUCUUCCUGCUGAGGCUGGUGGGACUGAACUGACCUUCAUAUCUCAGCGAUGAGUCCUGUAGACUGCAGGCUCCACGGCAGUUGCAGCUCCCAGGGCUUCAGAUUGGAGCUGCCUGUGACAUGCAGAGGUGGAAGCACAGCCUCAGCUGUGGUGGACGGCAGCCUCUUUCAGCCCCCAGGUGCAUAACAAAGGCUGUCUUGAUUGUAUCUGUGAGAGUGCCAUGAUUUGGGGUUUUCUCUGUCGGUUUGGACCAGAUCAGAAAGCAAUUGGGACUAUUGGUGGGAGAAAGAAGCAGAAGGAGAUCCUGGAACCAAAAACACUUCAGCAAUGAAGACUGGAUUUUCUCUGAAAUGAACAACAAAAUAAAAUCUCUCCUGUAGAUCUCUA